GGACAGAAAUAGACAGGUAGGUUGGAUGGAUGGAGGGAGGGACGUAGGUAGGUUGGGUGGAUGGACGGACAGACGUAGGUAGGUUGGGUGGAUGGAUGGAGGUAUGUAUGCAUGCAUGGAUGGAUGGUUGGACAGAUAGACAGACAUGUAGGUUGGAUGGGUAGAUGCAUGCAUGCAUGCAUGGAUGGAUGGACAGAGGGAUGGAUGCAUGCAUGGAUGUAUGGUCAGAUGGACAGACAUGUAGGUUGGUUGGAUGGAUAGAUGGAUGGAUGGAUGGAUGGAUGGACAGAGGGAUGGAUGCAUGCAUGGAUGUAUGGUCAGAUGGACAGACAUGUAGGUUGGUUGGAUGGAUAGAUGGAUGGAUGGACAGAGGGAUGGAUGCAUGCAUGGAUGUAUGGAUGGAUGGUCAGAUGGACAGACAUGUAGGUUGGUUGAAUGGAUAGAUGGAUGGAUGGAUGGAUAGAUGGAUUUCUGGGUGGGUACACUGUAUGGCUGGUUGGGUAAAUGGAUGUAUGGACAGCUAGAUGGGUGGGCAGUUAAAAAAAAUGGAUGGAUGGGUUUUCACUUUCUGUAUAGCUCUAUUGCUAAUGUUCCCCCUGUCUGUAAAGUUACAGGAUCAUUAACAUUCCAACACAGUCUACUCAUUAAAGUCUAUUUAAAAAAAAAAAAAGUCUUGCUGCUAUUUGGCUGACAACUUUUACCUCGGUGUGAAUUGUUAUUUUUAAUUAACAGUACUUAUUUAAGAACGUUUGGCUACUGUACACACAUUUUACACUACCGACCCUGUCUCCACCUGUACCGAGCACAGUCCACUUAUGAUAGGAUCACUCGAGAUGGGUUCGGAUACCGGAUGUAAAUGGGGUCAGAGAGAAAAAGGCAGAGACAGUGCGAGAAAGCAAAAGCUGCGACUUGAUGAUUAGGUGAUGAUAACCGACCGGCCUGUUAUACAACCACCUACACACUAACGCGCAAUCAUCAUUGAAUCCUGUUCAUCUUGUACACACACACAAAAAAUUUAAUCAGGAUACGUCUGUACAAGAUAAACAAGAUUCACUGAGGUUUGCAUUUCGAUUAGAUCUCUUCAUCGUAACGCCUUAAAAAUAUCCACCUGUAACAUGUUGUACCAUUUCUUUCUCUUAUAUAUGUGUGAUGGCAUGAACUCCACGUUUCCGUCAUCGAAGCACAAAGAGGUCGAGGAUAGUAAGACACAAAGACCGCGAUGGAAUGAGACAAAUCCGUAAAACCUGGAUUUUAAGCUUCUUAAUCAACUCUCACUGUAAAAGUACUUUUAUUCUGCUGGUCAUGGCUUGUUCGAAGAUGAGGAAUUUCUAAACAUUAUCUCAGAUAUUCUCUCUAUCUCUUUCUCUCUCUCACACACACCUCAUGCACCCCUUGGUACUUGACGUCACUGCUGUGCAUUUUCAAAACACGCACUAUGUACAAUAACAAUAGUGCAGGAGAUGGCGAGCGGCUGGUUGGGUAAACAGUGGAUGUGGGCGAUGAUCUAAACCGUCAGUGAUACAGACACUCUGUUUGUUUUGAUAUUAUUUUAUAAAUCCGAUACUGCCAACUUUGAGCACGUACACUCCCUCGGCCAAUCGGAGCCAAGCGUGAGGACAAAAACAUUGUGACUGAUUAAUGGCAUGGUAAGACGAGCCGGGACUUACGACACCUUCGGUUCCUGAUGCUGUUUAAUCCAUCUGGGUGUUCAUCGUCAUUGUUGUUGUUGCUAUUAUGUGAGCACUCACCAGGACGCAUGCUUUCUAUGUGAAGACAAACCUACAUAAAUCAAGUCACACUUUUUUUCUAUUUAUCGUCACAUAAUUAUUAAUUCUUCUGGUCAAUAUGUAUGUGUGUGUGUGUGUGUGUGUGUGUGUGUGUGUAAGACAGAGAGAGAGAGAGAGAAUGAGAACAGACGGAUGGAUGGACAGGUUUGUGGAAUGGUGAAUGAUUGGAUGGAUGGUUAGUUGAGUUGGCUGACUGAAUGGAUGAGUAGGUGGUUAGUUGGGUGGAUGGUUGGAUAGAUGUUUAGUUUGGUGGAAGGGUGGUUAGUUGGCUGGCUGGCUGACUGACUGGAGGCGUAGGUGGUUGGUUGAGUGGGUGGCUAUAUAGAUGUGUGAGUGGAUGGUUAGUUGGGUGGAUGGGAGGUUGGUUGGCUGGCUGAGAGGAUGAGUGUGAUUAAUUGGGUGGUUGGUUGGUUGAGUGGAUGGUUAGUUGGGUGGAUGGGAGGUUGGUUGGCUGGCUGAGAGGAUGAGUGUGAUUAAUUGGGUGGUUGGUUGGUUGAGUAGAUGGUUAGUUGGGUGGAUGGGAGGUUGGUUGGCUGGCUGAGAGGAUGAGUGUGAUUAAUUGGGUGGUUGGUUGGUUGAGUGGAUGGUUAGUUGGGUGGAUGGGAGGUUGGUUGGCUGGCUGAGAGGAUGAGUGUGAUUAAUUGGUCCUUGGUUGGUUGAGUAGAUGGUUAGUUGGGUGGAUGGGAGGUUGGUUGGCUGGCUGAGAGGAUGACUGUGAUUAAUUGGGUGGUUGGUUGGUUGAGUAGAUGGUUAGUUGGGUGGAUGGGAGGUUGGUUGGCUGGCUGAGAGGAUGAGUGUGAUUAAUUGGGUGGUUGGUUGGCUGGCUGAGAGGAUGAGUGUGAUUAAUUGGGUGGUUGGUUGGUUGAGUAGAUGGUUAGUUGGGUGGAUGGGAGGUUGGUUGGCUGGCUGAGAGGAUGACUGUGAUUAAUUGGGUGGUUGGUUGGUUGAGUAGGUUGCUAUAUAGAUGUGAGUGGACGGUUAGAUGGAUGGUUGUAUGGACUGUUAGUUGAGUUGGUGGGUUUUUGUUGGUUGGUUGAGUGGGUGGAUAUAUAGACAGGCGAGUGGAUGGUUUGGUAGAUGGAUGUACAAUUGGAUUGGAUGGGCAGCUAUACAAGGACACAAGCUACACAUAUGGGAACUAGGUGACAGUAACCAGAGUUCAGGAUAGCCCGGAGACCCUGGAGCUGAGAGACGGCAACAUAAGAGUGUGUCCUUCACAGAAAAAGCAAUCCCAUAAUUCAUUUCACCCUUCGGGUUUUCAGUAGUAAGUAAAAAAAAGUGUGGAUAGAACUGCUGUACAGCCAACACUAUGUCACUGCGUGUUUAAUAUAAUACUGUGAUAUUGUAAACAAUGCUGAAAGAUUUAGCAAUCAUCAUUACAGGAAAAUUUUAUUUGCAACUGGAGGCCUAGGUUCAUAAUUCACUGAUAUGCAGACAGCCAGAGGGAGUCAUGCUGGACAGAGGCAUUACAGAUCAUAAUAUUAAUUAUACUGUGUGUGUGUGUGUAUAAUACUAGCCUGAAUAACCGAGCUAUAUGGUGACACGUACUGCCACAUCAACCAGCUAAUUCAGGAUGUUGAUUCAUUUCAUAUUUUUGUUGUUUGACAACAGCUUCCUGAUCAAAUGGAUGAUGAAAUGUGACAUCAUAGUUAAUGGAACAUAAUCUAAUGAGAGCUCUGGGAAACCAUAUUCAACGCUGGAUCAUGGAUCAAUGCAGCUGUCUGCACAACAAACAAUGCAGAUGCAAUAAUUACAGAUGACACAAGACCGGAGAGCAGAUUUAGACCGUCGAGAGCAAAGACGGCCCGGUUACGCUGUAAUGGAUUUUAGUUUACGGAUUGCUCGGUCGCUCUUUAUAGCACACCGAUCCUUAUAAUUGUUCAACUGAUCAAUUAUUAAUCCUUUUUAAAUUAAAUGUCAAAGUUAAUUAUUCAAGUUUGGUGUGUGUGUGUGUGUGUUCAUGAGUCGCUUGUGGAAAAGACACGUCAAAAGGUAGUGCUGCUUCUUCUUCUUCUUUCUUCCAUCCACACACAGACUUUCAAGGGAAGAAAAGUCUGGUCCUCAACACACACCAUGGUUAGCGUCUAGGGCUAAUUUAUAAUGACUUUUCGAAAUCAGAUAGAACCUUCGAAUACGAACAACACGAGAUGUAUUCAAGAAAUUAUACACGUUCCUUAGCGUGCACCGAUUAUGUUUUUUUCCCAAAUAUUACCUUUUUUGUGAAUGUAAAAAUAAACCAAUCAAAGCGCACGACAAACGGAGUUAUUGACUCCCAGAAGAAGGAACCGAUUCUGAACAGCUGUAACGAGUCGUUAUGAAUUCCAGUAAUAAUUCCGUUAGUAAUUCCUUACUUCCCGUACAAACCUAGUAGGCUUAUAUUCAGUACGACCACGAAUAAACGCCAUGUAUUCGUUUGCGUUGUCCUACCUUAUACGAUUACGAAUGAAAUACGACCUAUCGGAAAACAUUAAAAGAUCCCGCUACUUUGGCAACGGAGUCG
ensembl:lncRNA